CCUCCCCUUCUUCCAACCCCCUUUUUCUUAUAUUCCUCGACUUCUUCGUCUUCGUCUCGACGUUUUGGUGUAAACAACCUUCCAUAGAAGAAUUCUUCUACGGACGAAUUUCACCAGAACUGUCGUCUGGCAGAGAUGUCCUACUAAUGUCCCUCCAUGAUGGAUGUCUACAAGUGCCAUGAGCUUGCUAUGCCCCCUAUUUAUGAAACGGAACUGGGGCUGGUGAAGAAGAUCAAAAGGGAAGCAGGAACUGCACGGACAUGUUUACCACAGCGCCCGAUGAGACUCCGUCUAAACAGAUGUAGAAGAACGCCCAAACUAAAGGACACAAAUCGCCCUGUUUGUUG